GGAGCAGUGAAAUAGUGGACAUUUUAAAUCACUCACCACAGUGCCUGGCACUUUAAAAUAUUGAAGCAAUGGAAGAAAGAUUUAAGGAGGAAUUGUUGAUAA
rnacentral:sRNA from 1 species